rnacentral:lncRNA from 1 species
UUGGCAUUUUCAUCAUAAGCUUUCAUCUUCUAAUGAACUCCGUUGUUAUGAUGAAGUCCUUAGGACAUUUAGAUUCGAUAAAGAGAGGAUUUAUCGAUUAGUCCUUAAAACUGUUCACGACCAAAUGAUAAGCUGUUAAUAAGGACGACAGCUUCUAUCGAGCAUAGGUCGCUGUAGGCCAUAUGGGUUGGUUGUCCUCUUAACAAAGGAGUGUGGAGACACUGGUAUGGCAUACAAGUGAGAUGUAAGGGUACAUCAUCAUUGAACGUGACCAACUCCAGAGUAUUCUACUGUCGAGAAUGUCUCUGAUGGGAUAUAGGUAUAAGUGUCCCUUAGACUUGAGAUCGCCUCAGUGACUUGCAAGCAACUCACUGUGCUUUGGUACUGGACUAACUGAAUUUUUAAUUCAGGGACGGAAGGCUUCUGGGCACAGUCAAGUACUUGCGAAGUCAGAGUGUGAUCGAGAUGGGAUUGACCACUCCAAGAGUUGGAGAAGAAUGAGUCGCUGUAUUUCAAUUUAGCAAAACCUUGAUCAGGGUAAUCCAUCAGAUGGAU